CGCAGCGCGCCUGUUAUGGCGUCCCGCCAUACUUGGAUGAAUCAUUAUAGGAAACGGGAGCUUCGCCGUGGCCGAUCCGGUAACCACCCGGCACGGAAUCGUCACGAUAGAGGUGCACGCCGCCUGGGGUAACGAAGGCCGGCACGGCAGCCUGGCUGGACCGAAAGACGUGCUGCGAUUUGGCGUGAUGAUGCGCUCGUGUGGCGGCGUUGCCAGAAGUGCACAGAGCGAUCAAAACGAAUAAGGCUAAA
rnacentral:misc_RNA from 1 species